AUUACAGAGUAGCCUCCGAUCCGAGCUGUCAUUGCCUUCACCAAUUCUCCGCCAUCGCCUCCAUCCUCGCUCCGCCGUCGUUGGUGGAAGGUAGCCCAAAAAUCAUCAUUAACUGGCAACAUUCACCACCUAGGUUCGAAGACGGUCAUUCGCGCUGCAUUUUAGGGCACAAAAUCGACGGGAAUGGUCUAGCAUGGCGAACAAUUUGAGCGUGAAGGUGCAUAGGGGCUGAUAUUGUCUUUGGAGAUCACUUACGGCUAGAGGACCAUCAUUUUACCUGUGUCUGCUUAUGGAAAUGGCGAAAUCCAACCGAGGAAAAACAACUGCUUCUCAAGAUCUUGUUAGCUCACCACUGCACCAUGAAACUAGGGCUCUUGCCUAUGCCACUUCAUCACCAUCGGCUAAGGUUGUUCCAACUAAACCUUCUCCCUUACAAGUACACGAACUGGGGCGCACGUAUCACAUCUUCUAGACCGUUUACGCAUGAUUACCAAAGAGUGGGAAAAAGAGCGUGACGCCAGGUCGAUAUUAGCUACAACUCAUUCCAUAGUCCGUUGGAGUCUUCUUCAGGGAUCGCAAGCAACGGAUGAGGAAGAGUCGGAUCGGAGGAUGACGAGACAAUUGGUUCAACUGAAGAUCAAGUUCCAACUAAUUGCAAUCUUGAUGAUGAAGGGGAAACACACCAAGCAGAGGCUGAGAAACUCCGGGAAACAUUAGGCAAUGACAUUCGCGAAGGAUAAAGGCUAAAUGUAAAGAACCUGAUAGCUUGGAAAUUUGGGUGGCAUCCCACAUUAAGGGACAACAAGCCGACAAUGAGAUGACGGAUGAUAUUUUGAAAUAUCUCAAUUCUGAACUCAACAAAAUCCUAGCAGACAAGAGAACACCAGCCAUCUGUGAGUCUUUGUACUGACGUGCUCUUGUAGGGAAAAGAAAACGACGAUCAUCGGUUGAUAGUGCAGCAACCUCUGCCAAACCUAAGACUCAGUUCCCUAGCCUUGUCGAUAGUGAGGCCAUGCAAUCACUAGUAGAGAAAUUUCACAAUGGUAUUGUUGAGAUGAAGGUACCCUUGUCUGAAAUUAAAGCU